rnacentral:misc_RNA from 1 species
UCCGAUUUACACCGGCGGUCUCCUAUGAGUUCCCGACUUUACUCGCUGGCAACAUAGAACGAGGGUUGCGCUCGUUGGCGGACUUAACCGUACACCUCACGGCACGAGCUGACGACAGCCAUGCAACAAGUGUCUUCUGGUCCCCUUGUGAGGGAGGGCCCACUUUCAUGGGCUUACCAUCGAUGUCAAACCUGGGUAAGGUUCUUCGGUUAGUAUCGAAUUAAUCCACAUGCUCCACCGCUUGUGCGGGUCCCCGUCAAUUCAUUUGAGUUUCAACCUUGCGGCCGUACUCCCCAGGCGGGAUACUUAGUGCGUUAGCUGCGACACAAGAGGGGUCGAUACCUCUUACGUCUAGUAUCCAUCGUUUAGGGCGUGGACUAC